CGGAGUAUGGUGGAAUGGUAGACACGUAUGCCUUAGGAGCAUAUGCAGUAAUGCGUGUGGGUUCGAGUCCCACUACUCCGA
rnacentral:tRNA from 1 species